CAUUGGUCUCCCCGCGACGAUAAGCCGUAAACCCAGCCAGGUCCGGAAGGAAGCAACUGUAGCGGUGGACUCGAGUGCUGGGGGUCGGCUGGUGUGG
rnacentral:SRP_RNA from 1 species